GGCGGAUGUAGCCAAGUGGAUCAAGGUAGUGGAUUGUGAAUCCACCAUG
rnacentral:tRNA from 2 species